UACGAAGGGGGCUAGCGUUGCUCGGAAUCACUGGGCGUAAAGCGCACGUAGGCGGAUCGUUAAGUCGGAGGUGAAAUCCUGGAGCUCAACUCCAGAACUGCCUUCGAUACUGGCGAUCUUGGAGUCCGGGAGAGGUGAGUGGAACUCCGAGUGUAGAGGUGAAAUUCGUAGAUAUUCGGAAGAACACCAGUGGCGAAGGCGGCUCACUGGCCCGGUAUUGACGCUGAGGUGCGAAAGCGUGGGGAGCAAACAGG
rnacentral:rRNA from 1 species